rnacentral:rRNA from 1 species
UACAGAGGUCUCAAGCGUUGUUCGGAUUCAUUGGGCGUAAAGGGUGCGUAGGUGGCGUGGUAAGUCGGGUGUGAAAUUUCGGAGCUUAACUCCGAAACUGCAUUCGAUACUGCUGUGCUUGAGGACUGGAGAGGAGACUGGAAUUUACGGUGUAGCAGUGAAAUGCGUAGAGAUCGUAAGGAAGACCAGUGGCGAAGGCGGGUCUCUGGACAGUUCCUGACACUGGAGGCACGAAGGCCAGGGGAGCAAACGGG